rnacentral:lncRNA from 1 species
CCUAAUGUAAGUUGGAUAACUUAAGUUAACAAGAAUUCUAAUGCAAGUAGAACUUAUAUUAUAAGAUUGAAUAGGAUUCAAUCCUUAUGUCUUUUUAAAGGGACCUCUCCUAAGAUCUCUAAGCAUUAAAACCAAUAGCCCCUCACACCUAAAGCCUCUUCCCACACCCUCUCUUCCUCUCCCUUUCUCUUCUCUUGGGUGUUCUAUACAUCUCUUCCUUGGGACGCGCAUCCUAAGGAGUUUCAUGUCCAAAAGAGUUUGGGUGCCUCUUUCUUACUGGUUUCUAGCAUUUGGUAGCAGUACAUAGUAAGAAGAAACUCUAAAGAAGAGAAGAAAAAGAAGAUCAAGAAGAAAGAUCAAGUUUUGAUCGCGAUCCAGGCUUCGUUCAGAUUCAGCAGGUUGAAUUUUGGAGAAUCAAAAUUCAGAUUAUAGAGGGCUGUUCCAGACCGAUCCCGAGUAGAUACUCGUAGAGAUCAGAUAUUUGUACAGCUAAUAGAGAGCUUCGUCUCUUUCAGAUCCAGUUUUGAAGAAAGAGAUUGCGAAACAGGUAUGUGAUUUGACCACAAUCUGAAUUUCAGCAUAUAUCAAUUUCAGCAUAUAAAAUAGAUCCAUAUGAUUUUAUAUUUUUAUGCAUGCAUAAUUCAAAUUAAAAUUAUUUUAAUCUUAUUCUCUACUGUGAUGUUUAGAAAAUGAAGUUUUGAAAUACACAUGCAUGCAUCAAACCCAGAAUUCCAACACUGGUAUCAGAGUCACAGGUUU